rnacentral:rRNA from 1 species
UGGGGAAUAUUGGACAAUGGGCGAAAGCCUGAUCCAGCCAUGCCGCGUGUGUGAAGAAGGUCUUCGGAUUGUAAAGCACUUUAAGUUGGGAGGAAGGGCAGUAAGCGAAUACCUUGCUGUUUUGACGUUACCGACAGAAUAAGCACCGGCUAACUCUGUGCCAGCAGCCGCGGUAAUACAGAGGGUGCAAGCGUUAAUCGGAAUUACUGGGCGUAAAGCGCGCGUAGGUGGUUCGUUAAGUUGAAUGUGAAAGCCCCGGGCUCAACCUGGGAACUGCAUCCAAAACUGGCGAGCUAGAGGAGGGCAGAGGGUGGUGGAAUUGCCUGUGUAGCGGUGAAAUGCGUAGAUAUAGGAAGGAACACCAGUGGCGAAGGCGACCACCUGGGCUCAUACUGACACUGAGGUGCGAAAGCGUGGGGAGCAAACAGG